AGCAGCCGCGGUAAUUCCAGCUCCAAUAGCGUAUAUUAAAGUUGCUGCAGUUAAAAAGCUCGUAGUUGAAUUUCGGGACCAAUAUGUCGGUCGUGCCUCGGUACGUACUGGCAUCGUUGGUUUCUCCCUUCUGACGAACCAUGAUGUCAUUUAUUUGGUGUCGUGGGAAAUCAGGACUGUUACUUUGAAAAAAUUAGAGUGUUUAAAGCAGGCUCACGCUUGAAUACAUUAGCAUGGAAUAAUGAAAUAGGACGUUUGAUUCUAUUUUGUUGGUUUCUAGGAUUGACGUAAUGAUUAAUAGGGAUAGUUGGGGGCAUUAGUAUUCAAUUGUCAGAGGUGAAAUUCUUGGAUUUAUUGAAGACUAACUACUGCGAAAGCAUUUGCCAAGGAUGUUUUCAUUAAUCAAGAACGAAAGUUAGGGGAUCGAAGACGAUCAGAUACCGUCGUAGUCUUAACCAUAAACUAUGCCGACUAGGGAUCGGAUGAUGUUAAUUUUUUAAUGACUCAUUCGGCGCCUUACG
rnacentral:rRNA from 1 species